AGUGGCGGACGGGUGAGUAACGCGUGAGAAUCUGCCCUCAGGAGGGGGAUAACGGUUGGAAACGACCGCUAAUACCCCAUAUGCCGCGAGGUGAAAUGAAUUUCGCCUGAGGAUGAGCUCGCGUCUGAUUAGCUAGUUGGUGGGGUAAAGGCCUACCAAGGCAUCGAUCAGUAGCUGGUCUGAGAGGAUGAUCAGCCACACUGGGACUGAGACACGGCCCAGACUCCUACGGGAGGCAGCAGUGGGGAAUUUUCCGCAAUGGGCGAAAGCCUGACGGAGCAACGCCGCGUGAGGGAUGAAGGCCUCUGGGCUGUAAACCUCUUUUAUCAAGGAAGAAGAUCUGACGGUACUUGAUGAAUAAGCCACGGCUAAUUCCGUGCCAGCAGCCGCGGUAAUACGGGAGUGGCAAGCGUUAUCCGGAAUUAUUGGGCGUAAAGCGUCCGCAGGCGGCCCUUCAAGUCUGCUGUUAAAGAGUGGAGCUUAACUCCAUCAUGGCAGUGGAAACUGUUGGGCUUGAGUGUGGUAGGGGCAGAGGGAAUUCCCGGUGUAGCGGUGAAAUGCGUAGAUAUCGGGAAGAACACCAGUGGCGAAGGCGCUCUGCUGGGCCAUCACUGACGCUCAUGGACGAAAGCCAGGGGAGCGAAAGGGAUUAGAUACCCCUGUAGUCCUGGCCGUAAACGAUGAACACUAGGUGUCGGGGGAAUCGACCCCCUCGGUGUCGUAGCCAACGCGUUAAGUGUUCCGCCUGGGGAGUACGCACGCAAGUGUGAAACUCAAAGGAAUUGACGGGGGCCCGCACAAGCGGUGGAGUAUGUGGUUUAAUUCGAUGCAACGCGAAGAACCUUACCAGGGUUUGACAUCCUGCGAAUCUCUUGGAAACGAGAGAGUGCCUUCGGGAACGCAGUGACAGGUGGUGCAUGGCUGUCGUCAGCUCGUGUCGUGAGAUGUUGGGUUAAGUCCCGCAACGAGCGCAACCCACGUCUUUAGUUGCCAGCAUUUAGUUGGGCACUCUAGAGAGACCGCCGGUGAUAAACCGGAGGAAGGUGUGGAUGACGUCAAGUCAUCAUGCCCCUUACAUCCUGGGCUACACACGUACUACAAUGCUACGGACAAAGGGCAGCAAGUUCGCGAGGACAAGCAAAUCCCAUAAACCGUGGCUCAGUUCAGAUCGUAGGCUGCAACUCGCCUACGUGAAGGAGGAAUCGCUAGUAAUCGCAGGUCAGCAUACUGCGGUGAAUACGUUCCCGGGCCUUGUACACACCGCCCGUCACACCAUGGAAGUUGGCCACGCCCGAAGCCGUUACUCCAACCCUCGGGAGGAGGACGUCGAAGGUGGGGCUGAUGACUGGGGUGAAGUCGUAACAAGGUAUCCGUACCGGAAGGUGCGGAUGGAUCACCUCCUAACAGGGAGACAACACAAUGAUUUUGAUGCCUGAGUACUUUUAUUCUUAGGCCGAAAUCCUGUCACCUUAGGUCGAUCGGUACCUCAGCGUUGAAGCAACAGAGUUAACAGAGAUGUUGAUGCGUGUUGUGGAGAUGAUCAGUUCCUAAACUUUGUCUAGGUCACACCCCACAAGGGUUGAGUUUUCCUGGGCCAUUAGCUCAGGUGGUUAGAGCGCACCCCUGAUAAGGGUGAGGUCCCUGGUUCAAGUCCAGGAUGGCCCAUUCGGUGUUGGGGGUUUAGCUCAGUUGGUAGAGCGCCUGCUUUGCAAGCAGGAUGUCAGGAGUUCGAGUCUCCUAACCUCCACUGACCGAACUCAAUCUCCGGUUUUGCAUUGAAAGAUGGAGAACCACUCGAUUGUGAAGUGUGAUUUAGAUGUGUCCGCUGGAUGACCCCAGCUUCCUGUCAUUCCAAAUCGAAGUAAGUUAGUUUACUUAAUUGAAUUUGGUUGAUAAGAUGCUGGGCUCGAUUUCAGUGAUCAAGCAAUUGGUCAUUGGAUUUGAAGUUCUGGCAGAACCUUGACAACUGCAUAGGUAAGUCUGGAAAAAACAAAGCAUCUUACAGAUGCAUUGUUUUGAAUCUGAUCUUCUGAAAGGGAGAUUGGAUCUAGAACAAUGAAAAUUCUUUUGAGCAAGAGCCGAGACUCUUGAGCGUUCUUUGAUUCGUGUCGAGCGAAUCAGAGUUAGAUCUUGUUUUAGGAAUCAGCGAAAGUUGAUGAUUAAAACUUGAGAAUCUGCUUUCAACGGCGGUAAGCGUUCAGGAGAUUAAUUGGUCAAGCUACAAAGGGCUCACGGCGGAUACCUUGGCACACAGAGGCGAUGAAGGACGUGGUUACCUGCGAUAAGUCUCGGGGAGCUGGAAGCACGCUUUGAUCCGGGAAUUUCCGAAUGGGGCAACCCCUAGUACGGCCAGCUGAAUCCAUAGGCUGGCGCGAGCCAACCCAGCGAACUGAAACAUCUUAGUAGCUGGAGGAAAGGAAAGUAAAAACGACUCCCUAAGUAGCGGCGAGCGAACGGGGAAGAGCCUAAACCGAUACUUUCGAGUAUCGGGGUUGUGGGACAGCAACGUGUAUCAGGGAUGUUAGGAGAAGUGUUUGAAUGACACGCCACAGAGGGUGAAAGCCCCGUAACCGAAAACUGAACUGAGCUAGCUGUAUCCCGAGUAGCACGGAGCACGUGAAAUUCCGUGUGAAUCCGCGAGGACCACCUCGUAAGGCUAAGUACUACUGUGUGACCGAUAGCGAAACAGUACCGCGAGGGAAAGGUGAAAAGAACCCCGGGAGGGGAGUGAAAUAGAACAUGAAACCGUGAGCCUACAAGCAAUGGGAGCCCUACUCAUAGGGUGACCGUGUGCCUGUUGAAGAAUGAGCCGGCGACUUAUAGGCACUGGCGGGUUAAACCGGAAAUGGUGGAGCCAUAGCGAAAGCGAGUCUGAAUAGGGCGCUUGUCAGUGUUUAUAGACCCGAACCCGGGUGAUCUAACCAUGGCCAGGAUGAAGCUUGGGUGAUACCAAGUGGAGGUCCGAACCGACUGACGUUGAAAAGUCAGCGGAUGAGCUGUGGUUAGGGGUGAAAUGCCAAUCGAACCCGGAGCUAGCUGGUUCUCCCCGAAAUACGUUGAGGCGUAGCGUCUGAUGCUCCAGCAGGGGGGUAAAGCCACCAUUUCGGUGCGGGCUGCGAGAGCGGUACCAAAUCGAGAUGAACUCUGAAUACCCUGUGUGUAGUCAGGCAGUCAGACUGUGGGGGAUAAGCUCCAUGGUCAAGAGGGAAACAGCCCAGACCGCCAGCUAAGGUCCCCAAAUCAACACUAAGUGAUAAAGGAGGUGGGAUUCCAUAGACAACCAGGAGGUUUGCCUAGAAGCAGCCAUCCUCAAAGGAGUGCGUAAUAGCUCACUGGUCGAGGGAUCCUGCGCCGAAAAUGAACGGGGCUAAGUGUUGUACCGAAGCUGCGGAUUUAUGGUAGGGGAGCGUUCUAUGUGGGGCGAAGCGUUAGCGUGAGCGGGCGUGGACUGCAUAGAAGUGAGAAUGUCGGCUUGAGUAGCGAAAACAUGGGUGAGAAUCCCAUGCACCGAAACCCUAAGGGUUCCUCCGGCAGGCUCGUCCGCGGAGGGUUAGUCUGGACCUAAGGCGAGGCCGAAAGGCGUAGUCGAUGGAUAACAGGUCAACAUUCCUGUACCGGUUAUGUUUUGGGAAGAGGGACGGAGAAGGCUAGCCAAGCCAGAUGUUGGUUACUGGUUCAAGCGUUCGAGGCGUUGAGGAGCGGUGAAAACGUUCCGAGCUAAGGCGUGAGUACGAGCUGCUACGGCAGCGAAGUUGGUGACGUCAUGCUUCCAAGAAAAGCUCUAUACCCGUUAAGGCAUAACUGCCAGUACCCGAAACCGACACAGGUGGGGUGGUAGAGAAUACCGAGGUGCGCGAGGUAACUCUCUCUAAGGAACUCGGCAAAAUGGCCCCGUAACUUCGGGAGAAGGGGUGCCACCGCAAGGUGGUCGCAGUGAAGAGGCCCUGGCGACUGUUUACCAAAAACACAGGUCUCCGCUAAGUCGCAAGACGAUGUAUGGGGGCUGACGCCUGCCCAGUGCCGGAAGGUUAAGGAAGCCGGUCAGCGUAAGCGAAGCUGGCGACUGAAGCCCCGGUGAACGGCGGCGUAACUAUAACGGUCCUAAGGUAGCGAAAUUCCUUGUCGGGUAAGUUCCGACCGCACGAAAGGCGUAACGAUCAGGGCUGCUGUCUCGGAGAGAGGCUCGGCGAAAUAGAAUUGUCUGUGAAGAUGCGGACUACGUACACCUGGACAGAAAGACCCUAUGAAGCUUUACUGUAGCUUGGUAUUGUGCCCGGGCUCUGAAUGCGCAGGAUAGGUGGGAGACGUUGAAGUAGUGCUUGCGGGUGCUACUGAGUCAAUGGUGAGAUACCACUCUUUCAGAGCUAGGGUUCUAACGUUCACCCGUUAUCCGGGGAGCGGACAGUAUCAGGUGGGCAGUUUGACUGGGGCGGUCGCCUCCUAAAAGGUAACGGAGGCGCGCAAAGGUUCCCUCAGGCUGGUUGGAAAUCAGCUGACGAGUGCAAAAGCAGAAGGGAGCUUGACUGUGAGACCCACAAGUCGAACAGGGACGAAAGUCGGCUUUAGUGAUCCGACGGUUCUGAGUGGAAGGGCCGUCGCUCAACGGAUAAAAGUUACUCUAGGGAUAACAGGCUGAUCUCCCCCAAGAGUUCACAUCGACGGGGAGGUUUGGCACCUCGAUGUCGGCUCAUCGCAACCUGGGGCUGAAGUCGGUCCCAAGGGUUGGGCUGUUCGCCCAUUAAAGCGGUACGCGAGCUGGGUUCAGAACGUCGUGAGACAGUUCGGUCCAUAUCCGGUGUACGCGUAGGAACAUUGAGAGGAUUUCUCCCUAGUACGAGAGGACCGGGAGGAACGCACCUCUGGUGUACCAGUUAUCGUGCCAACGGUAAACGCUGGGUAGCCAUGUGCGGAGUGGAUAACCGCUGAAAGCAUCUAAGUGGGAAGCCCACCUCAAGAUGAGUGUUCCCAUGGGGUAACCCAGUAAGGUCACGGGGAGAACACCCGUUGAUAGGCUCUAUGUGGAAGUCCAGUAAUGGAUGCAGCAGAGGAGUACUAAUAGACCGAGGGCUUGACCAACAUUUUGGUUCUUGCCUUAAGACAACAUUCUUUGUUUGAUUCAGACGCGCAACUACGGUUGCAGAUCCUAUGCAGUUCUCAGGGUUCACACCUUGGGAAUGAUUUUUAUCCUGGUGUUCAUGGCGGUGUGGUCCCACUUCGAUCCAUCUCGAACUCGGUUGUGAAACGCAUCAGCGGCGACGAUAUUUGGGGGGUAGCCCCCUGAGAAAAUAGCUCAAUGCC
rnacentral:rRNA from 1 species